GAUGUCUCGGGCCGUUCAUCCUCCAGUCCCCUGUCCUGUUCAACUUGGUUCGUUAAGAAAUGACUCCUUGGAAGCACAGCUUCACGAGUAUGUCAAACAGGGGAACUAUGUGAAAGUGAAGAAGAUUCUUAAGAAAGGCGUGUAUGUCGAUGCAGUUAACUCCCUGGGCCAGACAGCGCUUUUUAUUGCAGCAUUAUUAGGCCUUACAAAAUUAGUUGAUGUCCUGGUGGAUUAUGGAUCAGAUCCAAAUCACCGCUGCUUUGAUGGGAGCACUCCUAUCCAUGCAGCAGCAUUUUCAGGCAAUCAGUGGAUCCUCAGCAAACUGCUGGAUGCAGGGGGUGAUCUUCGACUCCAUGAUGAGAAGGGUCAGAACCCGCAGACCUGGGCUCUGGCAGCAGGGAAGGAACGCGGCACCGCGAUGGUGGAGUUCAUGCAGCGCUGUGCUGCGCACAUGCAGGCCAUCAUCCAGGGCUUCUCCUAUGACCUCCUGAAGAAGAUUGACUCCCCUCAGCGGCUCAUCUGUGGCCUGCCCCGGUUUGGGGGCCUCAUGCAGGGAAGCCCUAAUGGCUCUCCUAACCGACUGCCUAAAGCUGGAGUCAUUUCUGCCCAAAAUAUCUACAGCUUUGGCUUUGGAAAGUUUUACCUCACAGGGGGCACGCAGCUGGCUUAUCUAGGAUCUCUUCCAGUAAUUGGAGAAAAGGAAGUGAUUCAAGCUGACGAUGAACCCACCUUCUCUUUCUUCAGUGGCCCCUACAUGGUCAUGACCAACCUUCUGUGGAACGGGAGCAGGGUCACAGUGAAGGAGCUGCAUCUUCCCACGCACCCGCACUGCCGCAGGCGGCGGCUGGCUGACUUGUUAAUUGCUGAGCUAGAGCACAGCAGCAAGUUGCGGCACCCUCACCUGCUACAGCUGAUGGCUGUGUGCCUGUCCCAGGGCCUGCAGAAGACCCGCCUCGUGUAUGAGCGCGUCGCCGUCGGCACGCUGUUCUCUGUCCUCCAUGAACGGCGGGCCCAGUUCCCCAUACUGCACAUGGAGGUGAUCGUGCACCUGCUACUCCAGACCUCCGACGCCCUGAGGUACCUGCAUUCUCGGGGCUUUAUCCACCAUUCCCUCAGCUCCUACGCCAUCCACAUCGUCUCCACAGGGGAAGCGAGGCUGACCAACCUGGAGUACAUGAUGGAAAGCCGGGAUGGAGGUGUACACAAGGACCUGACUCGAGUAUCCCUCCCCACCCAGCUUUACAACUGGGCCGCCCCGGAGGUGAUCUUACAGAAGGCAGCCACAGUGAAGUCAGACGUCUACAGCUUUUCUGUGAUCAUACAGGAGAUUUUAACAGACAGCAUACCCUGGGAUGACUUAGAUGGCUCAGUUAUUAAAGAAACCAUAGUGUUGGGAAAUUAUUUAGAAGCUGAUGUCAGGCUUCCGAAACCUUACUAUGACAUUGUUAAGUCAGGCAUCCAGGUCAAGCAGAAAGACCGAACUAUGAACCUUCAAGAUAUCCAGUAUAUUCUGAAAAAUGACUUAAAGGAUUUUAUUGGAGCCCAGAGAACUCAGCCAACCAAGAGUCCCAGGGUGCAGAGAUAUGAACUCCAUCCUGAUGUCAAUGUCUGUUUAGGAGUGACUUCAGAACAUCCAUUGCAAAUAAAAGAGCUGAAGGAAGCAGCAGGUGGCCAGCUUCAUUCACCAAGGGGUCACCCCACUCUCACCGAGAAAGCAGCACCAGAGCCUCUGGGCCCAGACCCAAGUCUGGAGGCCCAGGAGACACAGAACCAAGACGCUGCUUCUCCUGCUUGCUCUGUGGGGGGAGAGGCCAGGAGCCCCAGCCCAGGUCAGGCGAGCCUCUGCAGCUUCGAAAUCAACGAAAUCUACUCAGGCUGCCUGGACGUGGGAGAUGACAAAGAGGAAGAGCCCCCGGGAACUGGUUCAUCUGUUGAGGGGGCCAGACAAAACCAGGUAGAUGAACUGAAGUCCAUGGAAGAAGAGCUGGAAAAGAUGGAGAGAGAGGCGUGCUGUUUUUCCCAUGAGGACAGCAGCUCUUCAGAAGCUGACACGGAGCUCUCCUUUGAGGACUGGGGCUGGCAGAGUGGUUCACUGAGUUCACCCAGCCUGCCUGAGCCAGCCAGAGGAGCCAAGGGCAACGUGAGCAACAGGUCCCUGACCGAGCAGUACAUCAGUAAGUGUGUGCUGAAUCUAAAGAUUUCACAGACCUUAAUGCACCAGAAUGCCAAUUUGCUGAGGAGUAUUCAACAGAAAAUAGAUAAGCUUGAGAUGACACAGAAGGAGCAGGGGGGCAGGUCUCUGUGGGCUUCCUCAAGAGAGUUUGCAAACGGCUAUGACUGGCCUUCAGCCCUGGGCCCCCCAGCUUCAAGCUAUAUUCCUCCUGCCAUGCAGCUGCUAGGGAACCUGCAGCCGGACACUGAGGGCAACUGCCCGACCCUAGCAAAGUUUCCAAGAACAAUGAGAGACUUUCAAGGAGGACAUUUUGGCAAAAGGUCCAAGAAAAGAAGCAGCUGUGGCUGGACACCUUUCACCCCUUUCCCCCAAGUCCCUGAAGAAAGCACUAGGGAUCAGUCGGAGAAGGGCCAACAGCUGCCAUCUCUUUGUGGUCCUGGAAAACAGAGCAGAGGUGAACAGUUUCAGCCCACUCACGGAGCCAAGGACUGUUUGGAAAGAAACAGGAACCAAAAUACCAGCAGCCAGGGAAGGCCUAGAGAGUCCAGUGCCCGAACCAGAACGACACAGCUCAGUGGUGCACUCCUCACUGUGCCAGGCCACCCACAGGGACCGCUCAGGUCAUCCACCCCUGGCCGAGGCUCUUCCAGGAUCAGCAUGGAAUCUGUGUCUUCUAAAAUCUAUAACACAAAGUCAAGAAAUAAUGAAGAUGCUGGAGAGAUACACUUAAAAUGGAAAACGGAGGUGAAAGAAAUGGCAGAGAAAGCAGCUACUGGGCAGCUGGCAGUACCUCCUUGGCAUCCUCAGAGUAGUGUGACUUUAGAAAAUGAGGCUGAAAACAGGCCUGAUCCCCUGCUGCAGCCCCCCAUUAGGGUCCCUGAGCACGUGGAUUGGCAGCAAGCUGUAGAGCAUCCCAAGAAAAAUGAUGAGCCAGGAGGAAAUGGCAAGUGUGACAAAACAGACAGCAGUGACCGCAACAGUGACCAACAUGGCAGACAGCCAGGGCCUCGAAGUUUCACCGGUACCAGGCACCUGCCCCCCAGAAAAAAUGAGCAGCCAGAGCAUGGCGAAGUCUUUCAAGAAAAUUCGGAUGCACCUGUGGUUGUUGAGAAGUCUUACAGCGAUCAGUCCAUGCAAGCAACUUGUUCACCAGAGUCUUCUGAAGGCAUAACAGAUGAAGUUUUAACUCCAGACCAUGAAUAUUUUUACACCUCAACUGCUCAAGAAAACUUGGCUCUAGAGACCUCAAGUCCCAUUGAAGAAGACUUUGAAGGAAUACAACAUGCUUGUGCCCGACCUCAAGCCUCUGGUGAAGAAAAGUUCCAAAUGAGAAAAAACCUUGGAAAGAAUGCUGAAAUUUUGACCAGGUCUCAAUUCCAACCUAUACAAAGUAUUGAAGACGAACAAGAGGAGACAUUAAAGGAGUCACCAAAGGAAAUGAAAGAGAAAGACAUAUCACUGACAGACAUUCAAGACCUGUCUAGUAUCUCCUAUGAACAAGACGGUGCUUUUAAGGAAGUCUCAUGCAAAACACCCAAAAUAAACCACGCACCUACUAGUGUCAGCACUCCGCUCAGCCCAGGGUCAAUUUCUUCAGCUUCUAGUCAGUAUAAGGACUGUCUUGAAAGUAUCACGUUUCAGGUUAAAACAGGGUCUACCUCAUUCUGGAACAGUCAAGAAUCUAUUCAAACUUCGUCUGAUAAAUUUACAACUGUCCGAGAGAAAGCAAAGAGCCUAGAUUCCCUUCUUACUUCCUCUGAAACUCUUCCUUCAAGACUGACUAAUCUCAAAAGAUUGCCUGAAUUUACUGGGGCUGGUUCCUCCAGCAUUGCCAAGGCACCUGACACAUCAUCCCGUGCCACUCAGAGGAGGAGCCUGCCAAAAGAACUAGUAGAAACCAUCUCGCAACAUCACAUUGAUGAGCUACCACCACCAUCUCAGGAGCUGCUUGACGAAAUUGAGCACCUGAAGCGGCAGCAGGCCUCAUCCACAGUGUUGGAUGAGAACACAGCAAGUCAUCUGGGCAUCGCUGCAAGUGAUCAAAGGCAUUUAGAAGAACAAGAAACUAACAGUAAUAAAGAAGACAGCAGUAUGCUUUGGACCAAAGAAACUCAGGAUCUAGAAGAGGAUACAGAGAGAUCUUUCUAGCCAAAUAAGAGAAGAUGGAGGCAACCAUCCAGACAAUUCAGUCUGAAAACACAAGUUUGCCUCAAGAAACCCAAUUCCAUUCUUGACUUGGAGCUCUCCUUUGACCUGUGUUGUAAGGUAAACCACUUCAGAUCACCUCCUUUGCCUCCUAACAUUUCUUGCUUUGUCCGAACAGUUAUUCAGGGCCAGGACUGGAGGGAGGUGAGUGCAACACACUCCUUGGGCACAAAAUUGAAGGAGGCACCAAAAAACUCAGAAGUCAAGAAAAGUACUAUUUUGAUGCCAUAUUUUUAAAAAUCAAUACUAAUGCAAAAAAAAAAUCCAUGAUGAACAAAAUAUUUACGUUUUAAAGAAAGAGAGGCUAUGGAUCUACACUUACACCACUUGCUUCAUCCCCAUCCUGGACCAGCAAAUCCUUGGGGAAGCCCUGCAGAAUACUUUCAGCUGCAAACGUUAGAAAACCCCACCAUCGUGUUUAAAUGAGUUUGUCUCACAUGACAUGAAGCCCGGAGGUUGGCAGGGCAUGGCUGGCAUAGCAGCUCAAUGAUGCUACCAGGGACUUAGGCUCUUCUGAGCUUUCUGCUCUGCCAGACAUAGCAUGUUGGCCUUUGUUUUCAGGCUUGUCAACUCCUGGACAAGGUGGCUGCUAUCCAUACUCCAGGCAGAAAUAAGAGGGUGGGGCAAAGGAAUAGUCUAGCCAACUUUAUGUCUUUCUAUCUGGAAAGCAAAAGCUUUCCUAGAAGCCCUUCUCAGCAGAUGCCUACUUAUAUCUCCUUGGCCAGAUGUGGCGCAUGGCCACCCUUGGUUGCCAGGGAGACUGGAAAUUGAGUUUUUAGCUUUCAGCUGCUGUAGAAGAGGAAGGUAAAGGAGGAGAGUGUUAUGAAUAACUUUUGGGUAGUGAAUCCAGUUUCUGUCACACUCUUCAAGGGCUAAACUAUUCUCCACAAGGAAGGAAAAGAGAGAGACCUGGACAGGAAGUGAGGAGACUAGAGCCCUGGGACCUGAGAGGAAGUGGGGAGAGGUUUUUUUGUGUGUGUGUGGGGGUGAGACAGAGAAGACAAAGAGGCAAAGGGGGAGGAAGGUAAACUUUUAAAAGUUUUAUAAACCUUUUGUCUAUAAUGUACGAUGUAACUCCAUUCAUUCCAUCUCCCCCAAACACCUUCGGUAAAUAUCUAGCCAUUAUUUAAGGCAAAAGAAGAGUAGCUCAAGAAGGCCAAAUUACAUUUGGUUAUACAAAUAUGAAGUGCUUUGCGCAUUAUCAAAAGUUAGCUACUAUUAUCAUUGUCUCUUCCUUUUUCAGAAGGGCUGGCUAUGCUAGACACAGGUGGAUGCCCACAGAUGCUCAGUCAUCUCAGUCCUUGGCACCAAGCCAGAGUGGAAGAUAUUUUUUCAGAUGGUUGGGACUUUUCAGGCCUUCUGGAAACACAUUCUCUGCAUCCAGUAGCCUCAGAGGCAGUUCUUAAUCUGAAAAACUUGUGGGAAUGAGUGUGCAUUUCUAGCCUCAGGUGGAAAUUGAUGUAAUGAUCUAGAAUUGAGACAGAGUCUAAUAUCACACUUUGGGCUUUUUUGUCAAGAGGAGGGUUUUUUGUCAAGAGGAGGGUUCUGGUGCACAUUUAAAUCGGAUCUAAGUGACCACUACAACUCCAGGUACAGUCCCACCGAGCUCUCAUUUUCUCAUGGGUAUAGUGAAAGCAGGAGUUUGAAGGUCCUUUCCCGCCCUAGAGUGCUAUGCCUCCUUGUCAGGGGAGAAGGGGAGUGACUGCUGUCUCAAUUCUCUUCACUUGCCCCUGCACAGAGCCCACUCUACGCUUGAUGAGGACCUGGAAAGGUGGCUGCAGUCGCCUGAGGACAGCACGGAGCUACAGGGUCUCCCCAAGUGCUCGGCAAGGGAGACAAAUACCAAAGAUCAAGAAGUUGGUGAAAAGAAGAGAAAAGGGGAAGAAAGCAUCACGCCA